UUGUGGAGGAGGACGCCGAAGGUGGGGCUAAUGACUGGGGUGAAGUCGUAACAAGGUAGCCGUACCGGAAGGUGCGGCUGGAUCACCUCCUAACAGGGAGACAACAAAAUGUUUAAUAUUAUUAUUUUGUCACCUUAGGUCGAUCGGUAUCUCACGUUCUUAAUUUAUUAAGGAUUUCAUUUCCUAAGUUUUUCUAGGUCACACCCAUUAUUUUUCCUGGGCCAUUAGCUCAGGUGGUUAGAGCGCACCCCUGAUAAGGGUGAGGUCCCUGGUUCAAGUCCAGGAUGGCCCAUAUCUCUAUGUUGGGGGUAUAGCUCAGUUGGUAGAGCGCCUGCUUUGCAAGCAGGAUGUCAGCGGUUCGAGUCCGCUUACCUCCACUGAUUACCACCUCUUUCAUAAUCUGUAGAAAGGGAAUUUUUUGAGUCGUGACCAAAUUCUGAAAGAAUCUAGCUUCCUAAUGAAAUCAUUAAGAUGCUGGACUCAUUGAAUUAAUUUCAUUGUUUUCAGAGAACCUUGACAACUGCAUAGAUUAUUUUUUAAAGACAAUAAGCAUCUUUAAUGAUGCAGAUUUAUUAUUUGUGCGAAUGCAUUAAUAACAAUUCUAUUAAGCUGAUGCUUCAAUUUUGAAGUUAUUGGUCAAGCUACAA
rnacentral:misc_RNA from 1 species